AACGAACGCUGGCGGCAGGCUUAACACAUGCAAGUCGAGCGCCCCGCAAGGGGAGCGGCAGACGGGUGAGUAACACGUGGGAAUCUACCCAUCCCUACGGAACAACUCCGGGAAACUGGAGCUAAUACCGUAUACGCCCUUUGGGGGAAAGAUUUAUCGGGGAUGGAUGAGCCCGCGUUGGAUUAGCUAGUUGGUGGGGUAAAGGCCUACCAAGGCGACGAUCCAUAGCUGGUCUGAGAGGAUGAUCAGCCACAUUGGGACUGAGACACGGCCCAAACUCCUACGGGAGGCAGCAGUGGGGAAUAUUGGACAAUGGGCGCAAGCCUGAUCCAGCCGUGCCGCGUGAAUGAUGAAGGCCUUAGGGUUGUAAAGUUCUUUCACCGAUGAAGAUAAUGACGGUAGUCGGAGAAGAAGCCCCGGCUAACUUCGUGCCAGCAGCCGCGGUAA
rnacentral:rRNA from 1 species